CUUUUUCUUGGUAGUAUUUUUUUCCUUUUGUGUAGCUAUUGAGCUUUGGAAGUGGCUUUAGUUGGCUCAGGUUCCUCUUGAAUAUCAUUUUCAUUGGUGCUCUUUCCAUUUUCUCCUCUUUCUUCAUCUCAACUUUUCUAUGUAGUGUAAUUGAAUGUCCCAAAAUUUUACCAUGCCUGCGAACAUAGGAAUUUAGCUUGAAUACCUUUUAGAGGGAAAGAUUCAUCCUCAGUGCCAACCCAUGCAGAAUUUAGCUAGGAUUUCAUCAUGCCCACUUUGACCCUUACUUUUGAAAAACUCGAUCUUAUUUUUAUGAUUCGUAGCUAGGUCCAUGAAUAAGGUACCUAGAGGUCCUAUACGAUUUGUUUGACGUAGUUCUACGUACAACAGUGGAGAUUUUUUUGAUAUUUCAUUUGACAGGAUAAUCUGUCAUUUUCAUUGUGGAAACCAAAAGCACAUUUUCUUCUUCAUUGCUCAUAACCUUUUUUAUUUCUAUUAUCUUCAUUUUCUUUCUCAUUCUUUUAAUAAAGUUCAUUGGGUUUUCAGAUCUGGGGAAAAAAGUUAGAGGUAGCAUCCCAGUGGCAAAGUUGAUAAUGGCCUGAGGAUGAAAAAUUGGAGUUUAUGAUUGAAAGAAGGUGCACCGAUUUCUUUGCGAGAAAAAGCGGAGGGAAGGAGAUGGUAUUAGCAAUAACUGAAUAGUGAAGUAAAUCUAUGAUAUUUUUCGACAACUUAAAUCCAAAGGAGUGUAGAAUAGAAAAAGAAAUAGAAGUAACUCUAAUAGAUAGAGAGAGAAGCUCCUCCCUCUCUCUAAAAAGAACCUUUCAUCCUCUUCAACCGAUCCCCCAACCCCAAUUUUAAAUCAAAUUCCUUCAAAACUACCAGACCCCUCCUCUUCUUCUUCACUACCUCCUUUAAAUCUAAGUUAUUGGCUUCAGAACAACUUGUGGACUUGAACAUGGAAGAUUGCUCAGAAGAGAAUGCAUCAAAAAGCCCGUCACCAUCCUAGGAAGAUAUUGGGAAAAUUUCUAAUGGGUUAAAAACUAUUGUUCUGUCUGAUGAAGAUAAUGCAAGGAUUUACUCACCUUGGAAACAUUCCUUGAUCAUCUGUAUUUUGGGGGAAGGAUUUUUGUGUAUUGGGUGUGGUCGUUUGGGGAAUACCCAAGAAAAAUGUCUCUACUCGAAGGCUUCACCCCCAUCAAGCAUCCCAUCACUUGAGGUAACCCCUAUCAAAUUGCCAUCCUCUACUCAAUCAAAUAGUCCGCAAGAAGGGAAAAUGGUUAAAUUUCCUCCAAGGCGCAGACAUCAGUCUGGUAGAACUUCAACACCAAUCCCAACCAACAACAAAAUAGAGACAAAGAAAAAGCCUGAUUUGUCGCCAAACAUCAACAAUACAGAGAUAAUAACCAAAAAUAUCCGUAUAGCUGGUCAAUAUUGAAGAACUUGGUGAAUCCAGUGGUACGACAUAAUUUCUGACAAGCAAAUGGUGUGGCGGAUGGCUUAUCAGGAUUAGGAUCUCACCUAUCUAGAACAUCUUUUUGUUGCAUUUUGCUUUCCUCCCCCCCCCCCCCCCCCCCCCGAUGUUGUUCAACUCCAACUGAAACAAGAUCAUGAAGGGCUGCUAAAUAGUAAACUAGUUUCUUGGUCCACCUGUAAUAAAUUACUAUGUUUUGGAAAUUAGUCUGUAAUAUUCUUUCUUAGUAACUCUAAUUCUGUUUUGUUGGCUUCUUGGCAAA